rnacentral:rRNA from 1 species
UACGUAGGGGGCAAGCGUUGUCCGGAUUUAUUGGGCGUAAAGAGCGUGUAGGCGGUUUGGUAGGUCCGCUGUGAAAACUCGAGCUCAACCUCGAGACGCCGGUGGAAACCAUCAGACUAGAGUCCGGAAGAGGAGAGUGGAAUUCCUGGUGUAGCGGUGAAAUGCGCAGAUAUCAGGAAGAACACCCCGUGGCUAAGGCGGCUCUCUAGUAACGGG